AGUGAACGCUGGCGGUAGGCCUAACACAUGCAAGUCGAACGGCAGCACAGUAAGAGCUUGCUCUUACGGGUGGCGAGUGGCGGACGGGUGAGGAAUACAUCGGAAUCUACUUUUUCGUGGGGGAUAACGUAGGGAAACUUACGCUAAUACCGCAUACGCCCUACGGGGGAAAGCAGGGGAUCUUCGGACCUUGCGCGAUUGAUUGAGCCGAUGUCGGAUUAGCUAGUUGGCGGGGUAAAGGCCCACCAAGGCGACGAUCCGUAGCUGGUCUGAGAGGAUGAUCUGCCACACUGGAACUGAGACACGGUCCAGACUCCUACGGGAGGCCGCAGUGGGGAAUAUUGGACGAUGGGCGCAAGCCUGAUCCAGCCAUACCGCGUGGGUGAAGAAGGCCUUCGGGUUGUAAAGCCCUUUUGUUGGGAAAGAAAAGCAGCAGGUUAAUACCCCGCUGUUCUGACGGUACCCAAAGAAUAAGCACCGGCUAACUUCGUG
rnacentral:rRNA from 1 species